rnacentral:rRNA from 1 species
AGCAGCCGCGGUAAUUCCAGCUCCAAUAGCGUAUAUUAAAGUUGUUGCAGUUAAAAAGCUCGUAGUUGAAUUUCGGGAUCAAUAUGUCGGUCGUGCCUUCGGUACGUACUGGUAUCAUUGGUCUCUCCUUUCUGACGAACCAUGAUGUCAUUAAUUUGGUGUUAUGGGGAGUUAGGACUGUUACUUUGAAAAAUUAGAGUGUUUAAAGCAGGCUUUAGCUUGAAUACAUUAGCAUGGAAUAAUGAAAUAGGACGUUCGAACCUAUUUUGUUGGUUUCUAGGAUCAACGUAAUGAUUAAUAGGGAUAGUUGGGGGCAUUAGUAUUCAAUUGUCAGAGGUGAAAUUCUUGGAUUUAUUGAAGACUAACUACUGCGAAAGCAUUUGCCAAGGAUGUUUUCAUUAAUCAAGAACGAAAGUUAGGGGAUCGAAGACGAUCAGAUACCGUCGUAGUCUUAACCAUAAACUAUGCCGACUAGGGAUCGAAUG